rnacentral:sRNA from 1 species
UUUUUAAAUGUACAUAUUCUUU